rnacentral:rRNA from 1 species
CCUACGGGUGGCAGCAGUGAGGAAUAUUGGUCAAUGGCCGGGAGGCUGAACCAGCCAAGUCGCGUGAGGGAAGACGGCCCUACGGGUUGUAAACCUCUUUUGUCAGGGAGCAAGGUGCAGGUCGGGACCUGCUGUGAGAGUACCUGAAGAAAAAGCAUCGGCUAACUCCGUGCCAGCAGCCGCGGUAAUACGGAGGAUGCGAGCGUUAUCCGGAUUUAUUGGGUUUAAAGGGUGCGCAGGCGGAGGCACAAGUCAGCGGUAAAAUCGCGGGGCUCAACCCCGCUCCGCCGUUGAAACUGUGUCCCUUGAGUGCGCGAAGGGUAGGCGGAAUGCGUGGUGUAGCGGUGAAAUGCUUAGAUAUCACGAAGAACUCCGAUUGCGAAGGCAGCUUACUAAACUGCCACUGACAUUGAUGCUCGAAAGUGUGGGUAUCAAACAGGAUUAGAUACCCUUGUAGUC